rnacentral:rRNA from 1 species
CACGCCGUAAACGUUGGGCACUAGGUGUGGGGACUUAUCAACGGUUUCCAUGCCGUCGCUAACGCAUUAAGUGCCCCGCCUGGGGAGUACGGCCGCAAGGCUAAAACUCAAAGGAAUUGA